ACGCCGUGCCUGAUGACAUACUGACUGAGGCAAUUCUGAAACAUAAGUUUGAUGUGCAGAAGGCGUUGUCGGUGGUUCUGGAACAAGAUGGUGUGCAGACUUUGAAGGAGAAGAGUGAGCGAGCAGUGUGUGCAGGACAGCCUUCAAAAGGUAUGCCUUCACCUGCUCUGUCUGCCUCCUGGGGUGCCCAGACGCUGGGCUUGGCUCACGUUGGUCAGCUGCUAGCUUGCAGCCUUAUGAUUUUAUGUGCACGAGUGUUUGCCUGCACCCGUGUGUAAUGCUGCAGGAGGUCAGAAGAGGCUGUGCAGGCCCUGGGACUGGAGGGAAGGACGGUUGUGAGCGUGCUGCUGGGAACCAGACCCUGACUGUCUGCCAGAGUAGAGGGAUUAAUGCUCUUAACCACUGAGCCGCCUCUUCAACUUGAGCACUAUGUUCCCUUCCUGUUAAAGUGUAUGCAUAACACUAGCACAAAGACAAUAAAGUCAGAUAAAAG
rnacentral:lncRNA from 1 species